rnacentral:rRNA from 1 species
UACGUAGGGUGCGAGCGUUUGUCCGGAAUUAUUGGGCGUAAAGAGCUUGUAGGCGGUUUGUCGCGUCUGCUGUGAAAAUCCGGGGCUCAACCCCGGACUUGCAGUGGGUACGGGCAGACUAGAGUGUGGUAGGGGAGACUGGAAUUCCUGGUGUAGCGGUGAAAUGCGCAGAUAUCAGGAGGAACACCGAUGGCGAAGGCAGGUCUCUGGGCCAACUACUGACGCUG